GCCUGGGUGGCUCAGUCAGUUGAGCGUCUGACUUACACUCAGGUCAUGAUCUCAUGACCUGUGAGUUCGAGCCCCACGUCAGGCU
rfam:Felis catus isolate Cinnamon breed Abyssinian chromosome F2, whole genome shotgun sequence.